rnacentral:lncRNA from 10 species
UCUGAAUCAAUUAAGAUGAUCAUGAUUUUUUUCUCUUACUAGUUAAUGUGGUUAAUUAUAAUUUUCAAAUGUUAAACCAACCUCGCAGUCCUAGAGUAAACCCCAUUUGGUAAUUGUGUAGUAUCGUUUAAUAUCUAUAUCUAUAUUGCUGUUUUCUUGUAUAUAUUUUCAUGAGAGAGAUUGGCCUGUAGUCUUGAAAUGUCUUUGUCAUGUUUUGAUAGAGAGGUUAUGCUGACCUCUUUUCUAUUGUCUUUUUGUAUUGUCUGAAACAAUUUGUAUUUUGAGUGAGGUCAUCUUCGUCUCUCAAGACCAGCCCAGUUGCCAGCUGAAUACCACUGAAUGAACAACCAAACUGUCACUGGAGAUGAAGAGAGGGCCUUGGCCACUGUGCCAGGUGUGCCUGCUACAGUUCUUGGAAAACAGAGGCUGCUCAGUAGAGGAGGGUGAUAUAUCUUCCUGACAAAGCUCCUGCCAGGAGACGAUGUGCAUAACUCAGCCCUGAGCCUUUCUAUGAGCUCUGCCAAAUCCGACAGACAGGUGCUGACGACAGAAAGAUGAAUAAGAUGCUGACUCUGUCCUCGAGGUACAUACAAUCCAGUGGAGACACACAGUCUUGUGCAUGAAUAAGAACAACAUGGCAAUAAUGAGCAACAGUGCCUUUGUGGGGCAAAGUCAUGUGGUGCCACUUCCAUCUGUUUUAUUAACAAACAGAACAUGGUCUCUUAAAAGAGGCUUUUCUGGAUGUGCUUUUUGUUUUUUUAAGUGCUGAAAGGUAUGUACUACAUUCCAGAAGAUAAAUAUGCCCCUAGUUUGGCUCUCCCAGAGGAAGUGUGAGCAUUCUAAGAAGAGGCACAAUGGAACCAAACGUCUCAAGACUUGUGUUCUCUUCCCUACAUGGUUGGGAGACACUGAAAUGAGAGCAGGUGUUUUUGGGAAUCCAGUCUUCAUUUUCUUCAUCAGUAAAAGAGGGUUAAAAUAUUUGCUCUAUAAAGUCCCCUCUAGCUGUCUCAUUCUGAAACCCAAGGGAAGCUUUGUCUGGAUCAUUCAUUUAUAGGCUACAUUUUUGCCUUAGUAAUAGGGAAUACUAACUUUGAACCCCAAUAAAGCAAAAUGUUAUCCCCCAAGGAGAAUUAUAGUCUUCCCAUUAGUAGAUGUAUAUUGCAAAACUUGUAC